AUUGAACGCUGGCGGCAUGCCUUACACAUGCAAGUCGAACGGCAGCACGGGGCAACCUGGUGGCGAGUGGCGAACGGGUGAGUAAUGCAUCGGAACGUGCCAUUGAGUGGGGGGAUAACGUAGCGAAAGUUGCGCUAAUACCGCAUAUUCUGUGAGCAGGAAAGCAGGGGACCGCAAGGCCUUGCGCUCUUUGAGCGGCCGAUGUCAGAUUAGCUAGUUGGUGAGGUAACGGCUUACCAAGGCGACGAUCUGUAGCGGGUCUGAGAGGAUGAUCCGCCACACUGGAACUGAGACACGGUCCAGACUCCUACGGGUGGCAG
rnacentral:rRNA from 1 species